rnacentral:siRNA from 1 species
AUUCCACUUCUGGUCCUCGUUAGG